CCUGGCCGGUGUCUGCACGGCGCGGAGUGGGCUGUAGCUCACCCCCACGCGCAGGCCGCCCCUAACACCUCCACUCAGCCAGCGGUCCUCCCGCGGGGCACCCCUCCAGCCCUCCCCCCACUCCGGUCGCGCACAGCCGGCUCCCUCUAACCAGCUGAUGGAACAAACCUGGCCUGGCAACAUCACCUUUCCUGGGCUCCAUUUUAUCAUGGCUGCGUUGGAUAGAGACAGCAAUGGUCAGAGCCCUCACUGACCACUGUGAGUGAACCCCAGACCAUUAGCCCUGGGUCUCAAAGGAUGAAAUGACUGCAUUUGACUUUUACUCACUGGAAAUGAUUCCCCCCUUCUCCCUGCAGUGACCCUGUGCUCUGGCUCACUCCUGGCUUCUUACUGGCCAGAUCCAAGGUGACUCCACCUGCCAACCUGUCAUUGAGUUUUGAGCAUUGGAGUGGGAAUGGGGGGUGGAAGGAAGUUUUAAGCACCACAGAUUUGUUUUGGAGAAUCAGAGUAAACAAUACUUCCUAAAUUUAGUGAUCAGGUGGGCUAGGAGACUAGCCGGCAGAUAAAGAGAAAUAUGGUGGACAGGUGUACCCUCCUGGUUCUUCUCU